CAACCCUCGAGCCCCCGUGGCCCGGCGUUGGGGAUCUACGCCCGUCGUAGGCCCCGAAAACCAGUGGCGGACCCUCAGCGGCCUUCCUUUGCGCAGUAGCAUCCGCCUCGCACCGGGAGCCCUGGGGCGCCAGCCUUGAAACCCCCGACAAGCCCGCUCCGGCGGCACAAGG
rnacentral:misc_RNA from 1 species